rnacentral:rRNA from 1 species
GACGAACGCUGGCGGCGUGCUUAACAUAUGCAAGUCGAACGGAAAGGCCCCUUUGGGGGUACUCGAGUGGCGAACGGGUGAGUAACACGUGAGUAACCUGCCCUUGACUUCGGGAUAACUUCAGGAAACUGGGGCUAAUACCGGAUAGGAAUCCUUGCUGCAUGGUGGGGGUUGGAAAGCUUCGGCGGUUUUGGAUGGACUCGCGGCUUAUCAGCUUGUUGGUGGGGUAGUGGCUUACCAAGGCUUUGACGGGUAGCCGGCCUGAGAGGGCGACCGGCCACAUUGGGACUGAGAUACGGCCCAGACUCCUACGGGAGGCAGCAGUGGGGAAUAUUGCACAAUGGGCGGAAGCCUGAUGCAGCAACGCCGCGUGCGGGAUGACGGCCUUCGGGUUGUAAACCGCUUUCAGCAGGGGCGAAGCUUGUGGUGACGGUACCUGCAGAAGAAGCACCGGCUAACUACGUG